AUUGAACGCUGGCGGCAGGCCUAACACAUGCAAGUCGAGCGGAUGAAGAGAGCUUGCUCUCUGAUUCAGCGGCGGACGGGUGAGUAAUGCCUAGGAAUCUGCCUGGUAGUGGGGGACCACGUUUCGAAAGGAACGCUAAUACCGCAUACGUCCUACGGGAGAAAGUGGGGGAUCUUCGGACCUCACGCUAUCAGAUGAGCCUAGGUACGAUUAGCUAGUUGGUGAGGUAAAGGCUCACCAAGGCGACGAUCGGUAACUGGUCUGAGAGGAUGAUCAGUCACACUGGAACUGAGACACGGUCCAGACUCCUACGGGAGGCAGCAGUGGGGAAUAUUGGACAAUGGGCGAAAGCCUGAUCCAGCCAUGCCGCGUGUGUGAAGAAGGUCUUCGGAUUGUAAAGCACUUUAAGUUGGGAGGAAGGGCAGUAAGUUAAUACCUUGCUGUUUUGACGUUACCGACAGAAUAAGCACCGGCUAACUUCGUGCCAGCCGCCGCGGUAACAC
rnacentral:rRNA from 1 species